AAAGUGGGUCGGACGGUCGCUGGGGCAACCUGGAGGAAGGUCCGGACUCCGCAGGACAGGGUGCUGGCUAACGGCCAGGCGUUAUAGGCCGCAAGGCUGAAGGCGACGGAAAGUGGAACAGAAAGAUACCGCCGAAGCCCGCAAGGGCUGGCAAGGGUGAAAUGGUGAGGUAAGAGCUCACCGCGCCGAUGGCGACACCGGCGGCACGCCAAACCCCAC
rnacentral:RNase_P_RNA from 1 species